rnacentral:rRNA from 1 species
CCUACGGGGGGCAGCAGUGAGGAAUAUUGGUCAAUGGACGCAAAUCUGAACCAGCCAUGCCGCGUGCAGGAUGACGGCUCUAUGAGUUGUAAACUGCUUUUGUACGAGAAUAAUAGUUCUUACGUGUAGGGUUUUGAAUGUAUCGUACGAAUAAGGAUCGGCUAACUCCGUGCCAGCAGCCGCGGUAAUACGGAGGAUUCGAGCGUUAUCCGGAUUUAUUGGGUUUAAAGGGUGCGGAGGCUGUCGGAUAAGUUAGAGGUCAAAUGUCGGGGCUUAACCCCCUGCCUGCCUCUGAUACUGUUAGACGAGAGAGCGAAUGAGGCAGGCGGAAUGAGUAGUGUAGCGGUGAAAUGCUUAGAUAUUACGCAGAACACCGAUUGCGCAGGCAGCUUGCUAGUCCGCAUCUGACGCUGAUGCACGAAAGCGUGGGUAGCGAACAGGAUUAGAUACCCCUGUAGUC